rnacentral:lncRNA from 1 species
AUGCUCAAUUCAGUUAAAAUCAAUGAGAUAAUCAGCCCACAGAGUCUGCCCAAAGGUCAGCAAGCAGUGAUUUUUUCCUCCAGCAACUUUGGUCCUGAGCUCUUGUUUCAGUGUGAAGAUUGCAAGCCAAAGCACUUGAGCAGGAGAUGGUGCAGGGCGGGCUGGUGUCCUGCAAGGCAAAAUGCAAAGGGCCUCGAAGAGGAACCCACCAACAUGGAGAAGGAGGAGGAUGGCAGGAGAAGGGGGUGCUGUGGGAAGGACCAGAUAACACAGAUUAACUGGGAGCUGUGUCAUUUUUCUGUUUGCUUUGGAGGCCUGAAGAAGGAGUGAUGUGACAGAGGA